GUCUACGGCCAUACCACCCUGAACGCGCCCGAUCUCGUCUGAUCUCGGAAGCUAAGCAGGGUCGGGCCUGGUUAGUACUUGGAUGGGAGACUCCUCCAGUCCAGCAAUGAUAACA
rnacentral:rRNA from 1 species